AGACCUCGCGUUAAUGGAGCGGCCGAUGUCGGAUUAGCUAGUUGGUGAGGUAAAGGCUCACCAAGGCGACGAUCCGUAGCUGGUCUGAGAGGACGACCAGCCACACUGGAACUGAGACACGGUCCAGACUCCUACGGGAGGCAGCAGUGGGGAAUUUUGGACAAUGGGCGAAAGCCUGAUCCAGCCAUGCCGCGUGAGUGAAGAAGGCCUUCGGGUUGUAAAGCUCUUUCGCAAGGAAAGAAAACUUAGCUACUAAUACUAGUUGAGGAUGACGGUACCUUGAUAAGAAGCACCGGCUAACUACGUGCCAGCAGCCGCGGUAAUACGUAGGGUGCGAGCGUUAAUCGGAACUACUGGGCGUAAAGCGUGCGCAGGCGGUUUUGUAAGUCAGAUGUGAAAUCCCCGGGCUCAACCUGGGAACUGCGUUUGAAACUACAAGGCUAGAGUGUAGAAGAGGGGGGUAGAACUCCACGUGUAGCAGUGAAAUGCGUAGAGAUGUGGAGGAAUACCGAUGGCGAAGGCAGCCCCCUGGGCUAACACUGACGCUCAUGCACGAAAGCGUGGGGAGCAAACAGGAUUAGAUACCCUGGUAGUCCACGCCCUAAACGAUGUCUACUAGUUGUUGGAGGAGUAAAAUCCUUUAGUAACGCAGCUAACGCGUGAAGUAGACCGC
rnacentral:rRNA from 1 species